AGAGUUUGAUCAUGGCUCAGGAUGAACGCUAGCGGGAGGCCUAACACAUGCAAGCCGAGCGGUAGAGAUUCUUCGGAAUCUUGAGAGCGGCGUACGGGUGCGUAACACGUGUGCAACCUGCCUUUAUCUGGGAGAUAGCCUUUCGAAAGGAAGAUUAAUAUCCCAUAAUAUAUUGAUUGGCAUCGAUUGAUAUUGAAAGCUCCGGCGGAUAAAGAUGGGCACGCGCAAGAUUAGAUAGUUGGUGAGGUAACGGCUCACCAAGUCGAUGAUCUUUAGGGGGCCUGAGAGGGUGAUCCCCCACACUGGUACUGAGACACGGACCAGACUCCUACGGGAGGCAGCAGUGAGGAAUAUUGGACAAUGGGUGGAAGCCUGAUCCAGCCAUCCCGCGUGAAGGAAUAAGGGCCUAUGGCUUGUAAACUUCUUUUGUACAGGGAUAAACCUACCCUCGUGAGGGUAGCUGAAGGUACUGUACGAAUAAGCACCGGCUAACUCCGUGCCAGCAGCCGCGGUAAUACGGAGGGUGCAAGCGUUAUCCGGAUUUAUUGGGUUUAAAGGGUCCGUAGGCGGGCUUAUAAGUCAGUGGUGAAAGCCGGCAGCUUAACUGUCGAACUGCCAUUGAUACUGUAAGUCUUGAGUAUAUUUGAGGUAGCUGGAAUAAGUAGUGUAGCGGUGAAAUGCAUAGAUAUUACUUAGAACACCAAUUGCGAAGGCAGGUUACCAAGUUAUAACUGACGCUGAUGGACGAAAGCGUGGGGAGCGAACAGGAUUAGAUACCCCGGUAGUCC
rnacentral:rRNA from 1 species